rnacentral:rRNA from 1 species
UACGUAGGGGGCAAGCGUUGUCCGGAUUUAUUGGGCGUAAAGAGCGUGUAGGCGGCCUGAAAAGUCAGCUGUGAAAACUCGAGGCUCAACCUCGAGACGUCGGUUGAAACCGUAUGGCUAGAGUCCGGAAGAGGAGAGUGGAAUUCCCGGUGUAGCGGUGAAAUGCGCAGAUAUCGGGAAGAACACCCGUGGCGAAGGCGGCUCUCUGGGACGGUACUGACGCUGAGACGCGAAAGCGUGGGGAGCGAACAGG